CAUAACAAAUACAAGUAUCACCAAAUCACAUAGCACCAACCAAAUUAUGCAAUGCCACAUAGAAUGUUAUGCAACAACACUUACUCAAUGUAUGUUGUACCAAUUUAUGAACGCAAAGGUCCAUUUCGCUCCCUGUUCCACCGCCAUAUGAUAUGGUUCGCUCUUGAAGCGAAGCACAUCACAAAAUUCGUUACCGCCACUACAGGUAACACUUCACUAAUUCCCCAACAUAGAAUAUCACUACAAAAAAUCGGGUAAAUUAUGGCGGUUUUAAUAAGACGGUUAUCUUAAACCGACAUAAUGUCUCCGCAAAUGAACAUCUCCAAGGCUGUGUACGUAUUCCCUUCUUAUUCUUCUCAUUCUCCAAGGUUGAACAUCUCUCACCGAAAGUUACGAUUUCUUAAUCAUAUCUACACCGACGUAAAUCAACCUCACAUGAUUUGAAGAUUUUCAUCCUGCUUCAACUCUUACAACUUACAAGGUUUCAUGGGGCAAUGUCUCAGCAAAUGAUAAAUCACAUUGUUUAUCAACAUGAUAUUGAUAUGGAUACUCAACUCCUCAAAAAAUUAAAGGUUGAAUGGAAAUAAGGUUAUUAUCUUCCCUUCUAUAGGGUGACCCGUUUCUGUUUUAUAUUGGCUUAUUGAUCUGUUUUUACUUCCAAAUCAAUAGUAUCAACUACGUGUGAAGGUGGUGGAGGGUUUUCUGCAAGGAUUGGGUAGCUUUGAGGAAAUUACA